rnacentral:rRNA from 1 species
CCUACGGGUGGCAGCAGUAGGGAAUUUUCGGCAAUGGGCGAAAGCCUGACCGAGCAACGCCGCGUGCACGAAGAAGGUCUUCGGAUUGUAAAGUUCCGUUAUAGCGGAAGAACGGUGUACGUAGGAAAUGGCGUACAAAUGACGGUACUCUGUGAGGAAGCCACGGCGAACUACGUGCCAGCAGCUGCGGUAAUACGUCAGGGGCGAGUGUUAUCCGGAAUGAUUGGGCGUAAAGAGGGAGCAGGCGGCCUGGAGGGUCUAUUGUUAAAAGGCAAUGGCUUAACCAUUGUAAGGAGAAGAAACCGGCAGGCUAGAGUUCUAAAGAGGAUCGUGGAAUUCGAUGUGUAGCGGUGAAAUGCGUAGAUAUAUGGAGGAACACCAGUGGCGAAGGCAGCAUACCGGCGCUCAACUGACGCUCAUGCACGAAAGUGUGGGUAUCGAACAGGAUUAGAUACCCUAGUAGUC